GCCCAGUCAGAGCUGCAAGAAGCUGACCGCGCCCCUCUCCACAAGCAGAGCGUCCCCCUGAGGAUUUAAGGGGCGCCAACGACCUUGUCACUCCCCAAUCCGCUUUGAUUUCGGGGUCCUGGGGGUCGCCAAAAGCACGCGGCCAGCUGAGUGCCUCAAAGAUGAGGAAACUAAGGCACAGCACCCAAAAGGCGGACAACAAAACAAAACUGAUCUACCAACUCAACUAAGAUAAGACCUUCAGGUCCCUGCGGUUUUACCCUAAAAUUAUGAGCCACUUAAGGGACUUCCUUAGCCUCCAGUCAGGAUGUGUACCCUCAGAAACCCGAAGCUCCCACUCCAGCCCCAGCGCAAUUCCCCUCAAUCAGCAUAGGUGACCAAAACAAAACCAAGAAAAAGGGCUUCUUCUACUAGAAAGUCUGUUUUCAACCAGCAACAAAAAAGCCCCCAAAGACAAGGGUCUUCCUACCUUCUUGAGGCAGAGGAGAGAAGAGCACUGACAACAAAGAGAAGAAGAUAUGAAAAAAUUUCUCAGUAAAUUAUCGUGCCACAUAACACUCAAUGAAUUUGUUCAAUUAAUUAAAAGCAGAAAUAUCCAUGAAAAAAACAUGAGUGAAAUUGCUCUCCCAAAGAAAGACACCUCCACUUAGCAGGCCUCCUCACUUAGCCUAAGCCUCUUCAUUCCUUCCCUGGGGAUGGAGGCCUAAAAUCUCUGGAUCCCCCCAUUUAUGGCACAGGGACACCACUCACAUGGCUGAGUUAAUUUAAGCUGCUGACUUGGAUUGCUGACAUGGGCAUUUGUAACAGCUGUAUUAACCCACUUUCUCUCAUGGUUGAUUUUAAUCUCUUUAAAUUUUGCCCAGCCAGUGAGAAAACUGAAAGCAUAGUUGAGAGGGUGUGGGAGACAGAAGUUGCAGGUCAUAAGCUGAGUGGUGGUUAAAUCCUAUGGAAGGAAGCAAACACGUGUAUAAUCCUUUCAGGAAAACAAGUAUUACUGGAGAGGAGAAAGCUGCCAAUGUAACUUUGUU